CACAAGCUCAGAAUUCUGACUUCAUUGCAUAAUGCAGUAAGCCAGUACAUAUUGCAGGAAAACUGUCCUGUUAAACCAUCAAGUGCCUCGAUUUAUACUGCAAAGAGGAGAAAGGAAAACAAAGUGGGUUGAACCUAGCCUUGUGAGUUAGAUUGCCUGAGUUCUCCUUUUGACUCUCUCUCACUUGUUGCAUUGCCUUGGAUAAUUCUUUUUAAUUUGUCAAAAUCUCAGUUUCAUUGUUUAUGAAAUGAAGGUUAUGGUCAGGAACCUCUUUAUGUGUGGAGUAGACACACAGCAGGGAAAUCUCAGAAUAUCUAAUGCUCUGUCUGCUGUGGGCUCAAUAAAUCUAAAUCACAAAGCACAACAACAAAACUAAAACAAAAACCUUAAACCUGCCUGGAAAAAAAAAGCAAUUUAGCAGCAUCUGCAAAAGGAGAAAUCAAUAGCAUCUGUUGAUAAGAAUUCAACCAGCUUCCAAAGAUAAAGGAAACUUCUAAAAAAAUCUGGAAAUUCUUUGGCAAGAAUAAUGGAUAAAGGACUCAAGAAGUAUGCUUAAGAGACACACUCUACAUAAAAUUCUCUUGUGGGUUUGAAUCACCUAUGGAGGGAAAAUGAAGGCUGGAACGUAAUGGGCAUGUUCAUGGACACAAAACCUGGCACCACUGUGUUAUGUCAGGAAUGUUUGAUGAACGGGUCAAGUUACUCAGGAGGAGGAGGUCCUGAACUUCCUUGACAUAGGAGAUCAAUUCUGAAGCAAUUAAAUAAGCAGCCGACAAGGCUUUUUAAGCACCAGAGCAUUUGUCUCAAUAGAAAGCAGAGCAAGACCAAAGCUUUGAACUGCAGAGAAGGUGAUGAAAAAGGAGAUUCCUUUUUAAAACAAUCUAUCAAUGAAUUCUUCUAUCAACACAUCAUGAGUCCAUUCCCUUUACCAAUAUCCACAGGAAAUGGAAAAACAACAUGGAUCUGCAGAAAAGCAAGAGACUUGGAAUUUUGGCAACUGCCAGUCAACUGAGAUGGAGUCACAGUUCCAUGGAAUUUUGAAGGAAGCAGUUGGGCAGCUUGAGCUGUUUUGAGACUCACUUCUUUUCUGACAGUUGGGAGAAAGCCAGACUCUCUCUUGUUCAAUGAUUAUCUGACUGAGUACUGAGAAGACUUUUAGAACUUAGCUCAGAAGAAACUCUGCCAUCCAGUUGUUAUCAACAUCUCCCCUUAGAGAAAAAUCACUUUAUUUCCUGAAUUGAGAGCUCCAAUCAACAGGAAAAUAUAGGAAGUUAGAGAAACCCAUUUUCCUCUCUCCCCCCCUCCUUCUCCUUACUUCCUAUAUUUAAAAGAAUAAAAACUUUUUGUUAAAAAUUUGAGGGUGAAAG
rnacentral:lncRNA from 1 species